rnacentral:ncRNA from 1 species
AAGACGAUGUAUACGGACUGACGCCUGCCCGGUGCUGGAAGGUUAAGAGGACGGGUCAGCCGCGAGGCGAAGCUCAGAAUUUAAGCCCCAGUAAACGGCGGUGGUAACUAUAACCAUCCUAAGGUAGCGAAAUUCCUUGUCGGGUAAGUUCCGACCUGCACGAAUGGCGUAACGACUUCUCCGCUGUCUCGACCGCGAACUCGGCGAAAUUUGCACUACGAGUAAAGAUGCUCGUUUUCGCGCAGCAGGGACGGGAAAGACCCCCGGGGACCUUUACUAUAGCUUGGUAUUGGUGUUCGGUACGGCUUGUGUAGGAUAGGUGGGAGACCGUGAAGCCGCCACG